GUGCUGGCCUCGGCAGCACACUUACGAACACUGGGGGGACACAGAGAGGAGCAGCGGGGCCCCUGCGCCAGGACGACAUGCAAACCCGUGAGGUUGCAGCUCGUGUU